ACCAAACUUCAGUCGGGGGGUAUUUUAUACCCAACACCAGUUCCCCUACUUUCAAGUUCGGAUUCCGAAUGAAGAAAAUACAGAAAAAUUCUCACGGCUGAAGUUGCCCCCCUCGAUUUCCACACUUGGUGGUUGUCAGAUAUUUUGGCGCUUGGCGCGCUGGUGUCGGAGUCUUUUCAAAUCAAAGCGAUCCGAAAAGAUUUUUUCAGAAUUUUUGUUAGGGCGUGGCUCUAGGUACGGUGCAAUAAUAAUUUUGUCAGCUGUCAGUCGUUUUCAGUCGCCUGCCAUGGUGAGUGGGACAAACGGCGAGCGUAGGUCGACCAGAGAAGAUCCGCAAUCAUUAUUGCACCGGACUCUGGGGUCUAUUUAAACACGUCCUCUUUCUUCAGGGGUUUCACUUUGCCUGAGAGAAUCCCUCGAUCCCCUCCUCUUUUUCGAGAGCUCCAGCCUCCUUUAGCAUCCUUCUUGGCCUUAGGCAUCCUCCGGAUUGACUUCCAUCUUCCUGCACUCCUCGGGCCAACCUAGGUUAGUUCUGAAACUUCUUGCCAUUUUUCUGUUCUUUCUUCUUCGUAUUCUAUUCGUUUAGCUUCCUCGAGAGCUUGUUUGCUGUUUUUUCUAAUUUUUUUUUCAAAAUUUUUGUGGCUUCUAUGUGAUCCAAAAUAUCUUUCGAUAUCUCCUCUUCUAACGGUUCUAGGAGUUCGUCAGCCCCAGUUUUUCAAAGUCCUUGUACCGUAGAUGGAUCCG
rnacentral:lncRNA from 1 species